rnacentral:rRNA from 1 species
GGUUGGCUUAGAAGCAGCCAUCAUUUAAAGAAAGCGUAAUAGCUCACUGGUCGAGUCGGCCUGCGCGGAAGAUGUAACGGGGCUAAACCAUGCACCGAAGCUGCGGCAGCGACGCUUAGGCGUUGUUGGGUAGGGGAGCGUUCUGUAAGCCGUUGAAGGUGUCCUGUGAGGGGUGCUGGAGGUAUCAGAAGUGCGAAUGCUGACAUAAGUAACGAUAAUGCGGGUGAAAAGCCCGCACGCCGGAAGACCAAGGGUUCCUGUCCAACGUUAAUCGGGGCAGGGUGAGUCGACCCCUAAGGCGAGGCCGAAAGGCGUAGUCGAUGGGAAACAGGUUAAUAUUCCUGUACUUGGUGUUACUGCGAAGGGGGGACGGAGAAGGCUAUGUUAGCCGGGCGACGGUUGUCCCGGUUUAAGCAUGUAGGCGGGAGUUUUAGGUAAAUCCGGAACUCUUCUAACGCUGAGGUGUGAUGACGAGGCACUACGGUGCUGAAGUAACAAAUGCCCUGCUUCCAGGAAAAGCCUCUAAGCAUCAGGUAACAUCAAAUCGUACCCCAAACCGACACAGGUG